rnacentral:sRNA from 2 species
AAUUAUGUUUUCUAGGGUUCCGCAGUUUUUGCUGGCCUGGACCGAGAGAAAACCACAGGUUAUCCUGUGACACGGAGGGAUAAAAGCCCGGGAGAU